rnacentral:rRNA from 1 species
UACGUAGGGUGCGAGCGUUAAUCGGAAUUACUGGGCGUAAAGCGUGCGCAGGCGGUGAUGUAAGACCGAUGUGAAAUCCCCGGGCUUAACCUGGGAACCGCAUUUGUGACUGCAUAGCUGGAGUACGGCAGAGGGGGAUGGAAUUCCGCGUGUAGCAGUGAAAUGCGUAGAUAUGCGGAGGAACACCGAUGGCGAAGGCAGUCCCCUGGGCCUGUACUGACGCUCAUGCACGAAAGCGUGGGGAGCAAACAGG